GCCAGGCAGUUACCUAGCUGCUCUUACACUGCAUGCCUGUGUCUGAGUACUCAUUUCAUCCAUCGGCCGGGGUAUGCAGGUCAGACCCAACAAGAGCCCAGCUAAGAUGAACUGACUUGCCUACACAACCACCCCAGAAUCGGUUUAUUUACUUCUGGGACCGUCACAGAACUGCCGCCAAUGCACAUCGCUGCCUUUUGUUGCUGUCAGAAGGGGAAGUGGUGAAGAUUUCAGGCAGAUGGUGGGAAAUCUAGAGGCAAUUGUACGUCCUGUAAUCCUUGAUCAGGUGAGAAGUAUUUCUGGGGAGACCAACCCUGGCUCACAGUCCUCCCUCAGUCAUGGCUGAGGAAUCACAGCCAAAAGGAUUCUUGAAGGUACUGGCGACAACAGUUUUUUUUCUAGCUUUGGAUAAUCUGUCAUUAGGGACUGUACUUCCUAUUAAAGUGCUGGUUUUAA